rnacentral:lncRNA from 1 species
GAUCGUCAACAAAAACAAAGACAAUAAAUUUAGAGUAAUUUAUUAAUAGGGUCUGAGGAGAGUGAUAUAUAUCCCGACCUUAUUCCUACCUUAUAGAAAUAAGAAGUUAUUUACGAUAGACUCUCAGCUCAAUAAACAUGGAAAAUAAAACAACAAAUAAUUGCAACAAUAAUGAGUAAGAGGUCACAAACUCCAAAUCUGGUCACCUCGUUCCUUGUUUCAUUAUAUACUAGUGUAUGAUUAAAGAAAGAAGCACCCUUUGAGGAAAAUGGAAAUUUAAAAAAUAAAAUAAAGAAGCAUAAACAUCAACUUGUCCACCUAUCAUGAAACUCUAAAACUUUUUUCCUGUUCAAUUGGAACCAAAAUACCAAAAAAAAAAAAAAAGGAAAAACAAAACAUGAGCUUAUAUAUAGUAAUCAAAGAAACAAGAAAGGUUCUUUCACUGUUCUUGAACAAUCUUCCUCAGAAUUACAACUAUAUUUUCUUCUACUUUUCUGUGUCAAACUCACAUGAGCUUAUAUAUAGUAAUCAAAGAAACAAGAAAGGUUCUUUCACUGUUCUUGAACAAUCUUCCUCAGAAUUACAACUAUAUUUUCUUCUACUUUUCUGUGUCAAACUCACAACUGUUGGAAGUAUAACUUCGGAUGAAAUUCCUAUCAAAUAUCUCUGUGUUAAUCUUUUGCAAAUUCCACAAAGAAUACACCUUAUAUGUCUUUGAGCCAAAAAAUUAGCCCCAUGUACCCAUUUAUCACAUUUUCUACAAAGAAAUGCAUCAUCUGCUUGACAAUAUAAAUAAGCCUCUGAUCUACACAGUGCACAAGAAACACAUCUAGCAAUAUUAGCCUUGGUUUUUUCUUUUACAAAGUGCACAAGAAACACAUCUAGCAAUAUUAGCCUUUGUUGUUUCUUCUUCAUCUUCUCUUCUUCCUUUACACAUUUUUUAGUUCUUUUUUUUUUUUGGAGAAAAUAAUAAAUUGAAGAUAUGAGUGAAGAAAUGGCAAAGGGGUGGUAUUUAUAGAGUUUUUUUUUGAAUGUAGGUGUGUUGCUUCUUUGUAUGAAUUCUUUGGAAAGACUACGUUG